GGGGAUUUAGCUCAGUGGUAGAGCCCUUGCCUAGCAAGCACAAGGCUCUGGGUUCGGUCCCCAGCUCCG
rnacentral:tRNA from 1 species